GUUGUGAAAGGCAAAAUGGCAGCGUCCAUACCAAGUAUUGUAAGGAUUUUAUGCCGUGUGUCCGCUUUACUUCACAGAAUAAUCUGCAGAAUCUGGUGUGCAGUCCAGCCUGUCUGUGCACUGCAGCCUGAUACCCCCAGUGAUACAGUGGAGGCUCUUGCCACCGACAGAGCAAAGAGUACAUAGAGCGCUAUGGACAAGUCCAGUGUGGUCUGACUACAGGAGGAACCACAAAGGAGGGAUCAACCCUUCAGAAGACACACACAACCUACAUUAGAUGAGACAAGAUAUUUGAGAACCCCCAUCCAAUUUGCUGAGACCCCAACGUCAUCAUCCACUAUCAGGUUUGGUCUCUCACAUUGACUUAUGGAAUAUAUAUACACACACACACACACACACACACACACACAAUCAUUAUGAGAGAUGGAAAAUUAGAUGGCAUUUCCUUUGAUUUUGUGAGGUUGAUUUUAACAAGCUAUUCAAUGUUAUGUUUGGUAAGCAAUGGACCAUUGUCUUUCUGCAAAAUGUGAAGCUGCUGCAACAGUUUAUCAGUCCAUAUACAGGCGUUGUGUAUGACCCCACACGGACAGGUAAGAUACAGUAUCUACAGAAAGUAUUCAUACCCGCUGACUUGUUCCACAUUUUUAUGUUACAGCCAUAUUCUAAAUGGAUUAAAAACUAUUUAAA